UACGUAGGGCGCAAGCGUUAUCCGGAAUCAUUGGGCGUAAAGAGCGCGUAGGCGGCCCGAUAAGUCCGCUGUGAAAGUCAAGGGCUCAACCCUUGAAUGCCGGUGGAUACUGUCGGGCUAGAGUCCGGAAGAGGCGAGUGGAAUUCCUGGUGUAGCGGUGGAAUGCGUAGAGAUCCGGAAGAACACCGGUGGCGAAGGCGGCUCGCUGGGCAGUGGCUGACGCUGAGGCGCGACAGCGUGGGGAGCAAACAGG
rnacentral:rRNA from 1 species